rnacentral:rRNA from 1 species
CUGCCCUUCACUCUGGGACAAGCCCUGGAAACGGGGUCUAAUACCGGAUAACACCGGCCUCCGCAUGGAGGCUGGUUGAAAGCUCCGGCGGUGAAGGAUGAGCCCGCGGCCUAUCAGCUUGUUGGUGGGGUAAUGGCCCACCAAGGCGACGACGGGUAGCCGGCCUGAGAGGGCGACCGGCCACACUGGGACUGAGACACGGCCCAGACUCCUACGGGAGGCAGCAGUGGGGAAUAUUGCACAAUGGGCGAAAGCCUGAUGCAGCGACGCCGCGUGAGGGAUGACGGCCUUCGGGUUGUAAACCUCUUUCAGCAGGGAAGAAGCGAAAGUGACGGUACCUGCAGAAGAAGCGCCGGCUAACUACGUGCCAGCAGCCGCGGUAAUACGUAGGGCGCAAGCGUUGUCCGGAAUUAUUGGGCGUAAAGAGCUCGUAGGCGGCUUGUCACGUCGGGUGUGAAAGCCCGGGGCUUAACCCCGGGUCUGCAUCCGAUACGGGCAGGCUAGAGUGUGGUAGGGGAGAUCGGAAUUCCUGGUGU